CUGAAAAAAAUGAUUCUUUGUCUCAACAAGCCAUACUUAAAAAAAAUCAAUAAAUACUACUUAAAAUAUUUAUGUUUUUGGAUUUACUUAAUAUAAUUGAGUAUAUGCUAUUUAGAAAUGUCAUUAUUCUCUGAACUUAGAUUAAUACAUUGUGUGAACGAAUAUUUUUUUAGUUGUUUCAACUUCCAGUCAAAUUUAAGUUCGUUCAACUUGAGGCUGCAUUGAUCCUUGUGAAACGUCAUCGCCUCCGCCAUAUUAGUCAGGUCAAAACUAGUGUGUAAACAUAUUCACAAGUUAAAUGUUUUCUUCCUGGAUAAACAGCACAACAUGAUUUAUUAUCAACACCGUCGAUUUAUUUUUGUGUUCAGCGGCUUAGGAGCGUAUUUUUCAGGUUAUCUUACUUAAAUUAUGAGAAACUGACCUCACCAAUAUGGCGGCGACGGUGACCCGUUCAGCGGAGAAUGCGCAUGUCUGGACGCUUGAACGCGCCAAAUCGAGAUGAAGACGACGCAAGUCAUCACCUCCAUGGUUCCACUCUUUGCACUACUCGUGUCAGCGCCGGUAUGAGAACUUUUACCAGAUAAAAGAAGAAUUCAAAAGAAUUACAACCAUUGAGCUGGAAACAACAUUCGUUGCAAAUUUGGACAAGCACACAGUGAGGCUCCUGUCUUUGUUCUCUGCUAAAGGAGGUGCUGGUGGACGGAAGAUGGGUCAACUUCUGGAUCUUUUGAAGCAGGGUGCUCCAUCUGAUGAAGUAAAAGAGGAUCUUGCACAGCAUACAAUCAAAAUUGUCACCAAAGGUGGUUCUACGGAGGAUGACCCAUUGGAUGUUGGGAUUGUGCUGGAAGGCAGAGAAGUACUGUCUGGGUUGUCCAGUGUAGCAAGGGCGUGUGCCUUGUUACUAGGUCUGAUCUAUGCUGUGAACCUUAGUUACCCCAAACAACUCAGGUACACGUUUGAAUUUUGUCAAAAGAUGCUGUUAGAACUGGACAGUGGGAAACUUUCACCAAAAGUGCACGCACUGAAGUCCAAGUUGCUGAGUUAAAUGUGUGGAUAUCAGUGUCUCAAAAGAGGUAUGUGCAAGUUGCUAAGCAGUAGGUCUCAGGGACUUUUGUUUUGUGUAAAGUGAUGCUAUUUUUGGCUAAUGACAUGUUGUCAUGUUGUAAUAUUGAAACAUUGCCUUGACUACAACUUUCAGUUUGUUUUAUGCACUUUAUAGGCUAACAGCAGUGAAAAAAAAACAUUUUAAAUGGAUUUUCUUUAGUUUUGUGUAACUUGCUGCAAUUUAUGGUCACUGAUGUUGUUGGCAUAUUCUAAUGACAGUGUUGUCUUUGUAAGAAGUUUAUUGUAUAUAUAUAUAUUUGUAAGUCAGUUUAUUGUUUGCACUGUAGUCCCCCCCCCCCAUACUUUUACUAGUCAGCCAUCAAUCAUUAGGAUUUUAAAACUCCUAAAAUGUUUGGAUUUUUCAGAUGAUUGACUGUUAAAGUUGACUGUUAAAACUGGCAAGCUUUUGUUCAUUUAAAACUAUACAGCAGGUCUCAAGGCCUCUUUAAGGAGUCUGUUUUGUUUUGCACUUAAUCUGAAUCUGUAUGUUGGACUGAGAAACUGAGUUUUUGGUUUCAAUUCUUAAAUAUUUUAGGAAUUUAAAAAUACUGUACCUCAACUUCAUGCAUUGUUAAUGUAUGAGUAAGAAAUGUAUUAAUAAAAAUAAAUUCAAGUAA